GAUGGCUACCACUACCAAGUACAGCUGGUUUCUCAUGGGUGUAUAGGAGCCCCAUAGAGGUAAAAUGUACUCCUUGAGGCAGACUAAUUCCCCUGUCCUGACAAACAGCCUGGAGUAAUUUGCUGCAGAGAUCUCAGUAAACACAGUAACUCAGAUUGUCAUUAUGCAAAAAUGGACCCCAGCUUCAGUGUGUUAUCUGUCUGCACAACGCUAAUGAACCCAGAGCUCCAAGGAAAGUGGUCUGUGGACGACGUAAAAUAAAUUCUAGUUCUGGCCAGGACCUAUGGCGGGGAAGAGUGCCAAAAAAAUACAAUAAGCAUAUUCCCCACUGAACACAGGGAAAGCCGGUUAUCACUGGAGUGAGCCUGUUCUUCUGGGAGUUUCAUUCCAAUUUUGUAGG